AGUGGGGAAUAUUGCACAAUGGGGGAAACCCUGAUGCAGCGACGCCGCGUGGAGGAAGAAGGUCUUCGGAUUGUAAACUCCUGUUGUUGGGGAAGAUAAUGACGGUACCCAACAAGGAAGUGACGGCUAACUACGUGCCAGCAGCCGCGGUAAAACGUAGGUCACAAGCGUUGUCCGGAAUUACUGGGUGUAAAGGGAGCGCAGGCGGGAAGACAAGUUGGAAGUGAAAUCUAUGGGCUCAACCCAUAAACUGCUUUCAAAACUGUUUUUCUUGAGUAGUGCAGAGGUAGGCGGAAUUCCCGGUGUAGCGGUGGAAUGCGUAGAUAUCGGGAGGAACACCAGUGGCGAAGGCGGCCUACUGGGCACCAACUGACGCUGAGGCUCGAAAGUGUGGGUAGCAAACAGGAUUAGAUACCCUGGUAGUCCACACCGUAAACGAUGAUUACUAGGUGUUGGAGGAUUGACCCCUUCAGUGCCGCAGUUAACACAAUAAGUAAUCCACCUGGGGAGUACGACCGCAAGGUUGAAACUCAAAGGAAUUGACGGGGGCCCGCACAAGCAGUGGAGUAUGUGGUUUAAUUCGACGCAACGCGAAGAACCUUACCAAGUCUUGACAUCCCUUGACGAUGCUGGAAACAGCAUUUCUCUUCGGAGCAAGGAGACAGGUGGUGCAUGGUUGUCGUCAGCUCGUGUCGUGAGAUGUUGGGUUAAGUCCCGCAACGAGCGCAACCCUUAUGGUCAGUUACUACGCAAGAGGACUCUGGCCAGACUGCCGUUGACAAAACGGAGGAAGGUGGGGAUGACGUCAAAUCAUCAUGCCCUUUAUGACUUGGGCUACACACGUACUACAAUGGCGUUAAACAAAGAGAAGCAAGACCGCGAGGUGGAGCAAAACUCAGAAACAACGUCCCAGUUCGGACUGCAGGCUGCAACUCGCCUGCACGAAGUCGGAAUUGCUAGUAAUCGUGGAUCAGCAUGCCACGGUGAAUACGUUCCCGGGCCUUGUACACACCGCCCGUCACACCAUGAGAGCCGGGGGGACCCGAAGUCGGUAGUCUAACCGCAAGGAGGACGCCGCCGAAGGUAAAACUGGUGAUUGGGGUGAAGUCGUAACAAGGUAGCCGUAGGAGAACCUGCGGCUG
rnacentral:rRNA from 1 species